rnacentral:misc_RNA from 1 species
AACGCACGAGACCUGCGGACCUGCGGAGGGAUCAUUAAUGAGAAGCUGCCCCUCGUGGGUAGACCUCCCACCCUCUGUGAACUUACCUUUGUUGCUUUGGCAGGCCCGUCCUCUGGACCGCCGGCUUCGGCUGGCCCGUGCCUGCCAGAGGAUUCCAAACCCUGUCUGUCAGUGUUGUCUGAGUCUAUAUGAAAUCGUUAAAACUUUUAACAAUGGAUCUCUAGAUCGGAAGAGCACACG